rnacentral:rRNA from 1 species
AACGAACGCUGGCGGCAGGCCUAACACAUGCAAGUCGAACGAAGUCUUCGGACUUAGUGGCGCACGGGUGAGUAACACGUGGGAAUAUACCUUACGCUGGGGGAUAACAUCGGGAAACUGAUGCUAAUACCGCAUACGCCCUUCGGGGGAAAGAUUUAUCGGCGAAAGAUUAGCCCGCGUCCGAUUAGCUAGUUGGUGAGGUAAUGGCUCACCAAGGCUCCGAUCGGUAGCUGGUCUGAGAGGAUGACCAGCCACACUGGGACUGAGACACGGCCCAGACUCCUACGGGAGGCAGCAGUGGGGAAUAUUGGACAAUGGGCUCAAGCCUGAUCCAGCCAUGCCGCGUGAGUGAUGAAGGCCUUAGGGUUGUAAAGCUCUUUCACCCACGACGAUGAUGACGGUAGUGGGAGAAGAAGCCCCGGCUAACUUCGUG